CGCUGUGGGGAUGAAAAAGUAUAUUACCAUUGCAUUAAUAAGACAAUCUGGAGUUUAUAAGGCGUUUUGAACAGUGUGUCUUUCAGAAAAGACUGAGUUGCAGGCUGACAGGAAGUUGCAGAAAGUUUGCAGAACUGAAACCGAAAGUUAUUCUGAGGAGCAGGGUAAACGAGGCUAUUUUAAUUACUAGGUUAUUCAAAAUGAUCAUUGCUUUAACAAAUAACAGAUAGUUUUAAGAAGGCCUUAAGAUGCUUAUGCACACAGUUAUUAUGUUUAGUAGAGGUUCUUGAUUGAAACAUUUAUUUUAAGUAGAUGAUAUCUCCAUAAGUUUCAGUUCGAUUAUUAUAUAUACAAGAGUGGUUUCUGUCUCUCUGUCUGGUUAGAGGUCGAGGUGGAACCGGGUGUAGUUGUGGUUAGCACACACACUUAGAGAGAGUCAUUUAAAGGUGAAAGUUUAAUCAUGUUUUGCUGGGGUUGCAAAAACAGUUUGUCGCCGAACUGCUGCUAAGGUGUCAAGAGGACAAGCAUCCGGCAGUGACAGGAAGCACCUGCUAUGGAGAUAGAAGACAAUGUUUUGAACUGUGUUAAGAGUCUUUGUGGUGUUAAUUUGGUCUAUGUAAAAAUGUAUUUGUGACGUAUGAGGGGGCGUAAGUAAAUACAAACCCUGAUUGUAUAAAAUAUCUGUUAUGCUUUGAGGAAGUUGAAGUUCAGUUCCUGUCUGCGAACAGAGCUGGGGCUUCCCACAUGUGUCAUUAAAAAUCAAUCGUUUGACCAAGCUCUUCUGGACCAAUGGUUGUCUGUACUCUCCUUUCCUCAAUCUUUGAACCUAACAGCGCCAUUUUUAUGUAGAUGAUGGGCUAAAGUCAUUUCCCUCUGAGACCCAGGCGUAGGGCUGCUCGAUUAUGGCAAAAAUGAUAAUCACGAUUAUUUUCACUGAAAUUGAGAUCACGAUUAUUUGACGAUAUUUAUUUAACCCUUUAAGACCUACUAUAGAACCAAGUCCACCAGAGCUUAUAUUAUUUUUUUUACAUGCUGUAGUGCCAUUUGUGGGAGCAUUUCAAGUUGCUAUACAUCAAUACAACUGUUAUAGCCCAUAUUUUAAUAAUAUGUAUGCAUUAAGUCCAUAGUAAUUACAUAAA
ensembl:lncRNA